rnacentral:rRNA from 1 species
UUAACUGAAGAGUUUGAUCAUGGCUCAGAUUGAACGCUGGCGGCAGGCCUAACACAUGCAAGUCGAGCGGAAACGAUGGUAGCUUGCUACCAGGCGUCGAGCGGCGGACGGGUGAGUAACGCGUGAGAAUCUGCCCAUUUGUGGGGGAUAACUCGGGGAAACUCGAGCU